ACGUUCGAAUUCCUAUUUCUCUGUCGAACUAGAACAAUCUUCCUAGCUUUCAAAAGGGAAUUGAAAUAAAGGGAGAGGAAAAAGAAUAUGUGCGCUACACUGAGCGUAAAAGUGUCUCCGGUGAUACUUGGAAAUCCGCUUGUUUUAGGGCCUGACUUUUUAGAGUCCGAUAACGAUCACGCGUUCAUUUCCGUUAGCCCUGAAGCGGGCUUCCGGUGUCUCCCACGCCGUCACGUAACCGCUCCCCGUUGAUUUUGUAAAAGUCAUCGUAUCGGUGUUUAUCAUUGGUCAGGUGACGGCUCAUUCACGGAACAAAAUUUUAACGAGUUAAUGUAACCAGCUGAAAAUUUCCAAAUUGUUCGACGUAAUAUUUAUUUGCAUGUUAACGGAUACAAAAACAAAGAAAAAAGGAAGAAGAAGAAGAAGAAUAACAACGUUAUAAGAAAAUUGAUAAAACUCGUUUGAGAUAAAUCUCAGCCAUUUUCCACAAUCGAAAACAAUGAUCUCCAUUUUGCGAGAUACUUGACCUGAGAAAGGAAUUUUUGUCGAUCGUCAUCGUCGAUAAAACACCUCGGUAUUCGAUCGUGCUCGCUUCUCUCAGGAAUCUUUCGAUCUUAUUGUUCGUGGGCAGCAAGGCAGAAAGCGGUGCUUCCGGUUUCAGGUUGGCUUGUGCACGUUGCUCGGACGAACGGACAGGCCUGGCUGCAUCCUGAUCGUCCCAGGUAGACACCUGCUCCACAUUUUGUGUAUAAAUCGAGCCAAGGUCUCGACUUAAUGCGUCGUGCCUUUUUCUGCCCUCGAACGAAACAUCUUUCUCUUUUUCGCUGAAAAAAAAAAAAAGAAAAAAAAAGAAAGAAUAUAACAGGUUCGUCUGGAAAGAAAUCGACGUGUCAAAUAAAUACAAAAAAUUUCUUAUCUUUUAUUUUUCCUUUCUUUUUUGAUCAGGUCGAUCAACGAUCCCCUCUAUAAACAUUUGUUAUUAAUAUUAAUCUAAAAUGUUCUAAUUUACCUUCCGCUCGUUCGCAGAAAAUAGAAAAGGAAAAAGAAAGGAAAGAAAAAAAGGAAGGGAAAAAAACCGGUCAACGUCCGUCUUUCGAAGCUACGAGAUUGGACUCAUGGAAAAUUGUCGCAGAACAGGAAGAGGAUAACUCGCUACGGAACCGGAAGUUGUCGCCGGCCUCGUUACUGGGAAACUUGAAAAAUACUGUAGAUCAUGAGUUCCCUGGGAACCACGGAUCCGACCUACGCGCCUUCACACGCGCGCUCGUGCGUGCGUGACACGCGAACGGCCAUGACUAGCCCCGAGAAAGACCCGAUUUCUAGCCACCAGACACGGACUUGAUCGACAUCCAGAAUCGUAGGCGUUAUUGGACGUCAUCGAGUGCCACGUGUCCUUGAGGAAUUGGAAGAUUCUUUUAAGGAAGAUUCGACGCAUUAUAAUAUGAGUACUGUUAAUCUCUCGCCUCUCUCUCUCUCUCUCUCUCUCUCUCUUUUCUUUGAAAAUAUUCAAAUGUGAUACUGAAUACGUCAUCGAUACUGUCCCACGCCGAUCACAUAUCCGAACAAGAUGGAAAUGAGAGAAGAUUCUUCCUUGCAUCUUCCGUCUCGUUUGACGAGCACGAAGAUACACACCGAUAUUCGAGGACUUAAGCGAUGUUUACUCGUCGGACUACUUCUGUCCAUUCGCUACUACGAGAAUGUCUCCUACUACGAACGCUCAUACCACCUUCGGAACCCAUUAAUCUUUAACAACCCGCUACGAUGUUCGUCGUAAAGUAUAAAUAUUGUGGAGAUAAAUGAGAAGCCGACUUUAUCCCGCCGAACAUUUUUACCGUUAUUAAAGAGAGAAUGAAAAAAGACGCAGACGCAGACGCAGACGUACACACGAGCGCACGUGCACGGAAGACAAGAAAAAAAAAAAGAAACGAAUAAGCAUAAAAAAUAAAAAAAUAAAAAUUACGAGUCUCUCGAAAAAAUACCGAUUGUACGGCUCGCUUCGUCUCGCUCGCUCGUGGCACGCGAUAUUAAUGAAACUUGAAUUUUAAAAAAUGGUAACACAGAAGAGUGAAAACGGUUCGACUCGAAGGAUGUCAUCCAUACUUUCUCGACGGACGUCAUCGUCGAACAAGUAGCCAAAAAUAAUUUUAACCGGAACAAAGGGGCUUCUGAUCAGUAAGAAGAACAGGAAGAAGAACAAGAACAAGAAAAAGAAGAAAAAGAAGAAGAAGAAGAAGAAGAGUAGAAAUUAUCUCUGAUAAUCCUGGGAACAAUAUGGUCUACCAACGAGCAAUCUUAAAACGAUCUUUUAACAUUAGAAGAAGAAGAAGAAAAGAAGGGUCGAGAAAGAGGCAAAGGUGAAUGAGAAUAUAUGCACUCGCAUAAAGCUGGGAAACAUAAUAGGAGUCAGUUGUCUUGGCAUAGAAUGAAUCUGCAAAAAUGAUUCUGGGAAACUAUUAUUUUCAGUUCGGUUACGCUAAUAAUCCCCGACAGAAAAGAGCGUAAACGAUUAGAACGAUACAACACGAAACAUCAUUUUCCAGGGUCAUUUCUGGAAGAUCCAUGAUACGAACAAACUUUCGAUCAAGAGAAGAAAUUUUAUCAUACGUUCGUGAUGUUCAAUAAACUCAAUAUCAACCGAUGGACUUUCUCUCUCUCUCUCUCUCUCUCUCUCUCUCCAUCUCUUUCUCUCUCUAUCUUUCUCUCUCUUUCCAUAUUGGCAACUUAUGUGUAUGUCAGCUGCGUGCUCCAGUCGUACGGCAUAUCUUAAUUGCGUGCGACCCGGCAUUGCGAUUCUACUUCGCAUCGAGCACUUUUAUUAUUUAUAAUUAUAGUAUCAUCGAGACAGAGAGAGAGAGAGUGGGGGAGGGGACGACGAGACUCCAUACUUUACGCAAUACACGCGAUAACGUAAGAAUAAUCGACGAGUCAGGAAUUAAUAAACUUAUGCAUCGCUUACUAUCGGUAUAUAUUUAUGUACAUCCUAAUAACUGCAAUCAUGUUAUUUUUCUUCUUUUCUUCUUCUUCUUCUUCUUCUUCUUUUUCUGUUUCUUCUUCCUUUUUCUUUUUUGUUUUUCUAUCCUACUCAAGAAGAUUAAUUUGAAGAAUAUUCUCGACGUAAUAUCAUAUAAUAUUAUAUAAAUGAUCAUUGUAUACUUUAUUAUUUCAAUCCGUGAGACGACAUUUCGUUUCUAAGAAAAACAUUAUAUUCGUUAGAAGAAAGAAAAACAAAAAAAGAAAACAAUCAUUCCGUAUUAUUUCAUCAUUAUUGUAAAAACGAAUCGAGCGAUACACGUGUCUAUCCGAAGUCUAUGAUGUACGAUAAUUGUUAUACGAAGAAAGAUCGAACGACGGGAUAUCGAUAAAAGCCUGUCGCUCGACGCUAAACCGACUCGGCGGGUGGCAAAAUGCAUCUGGACUAUCGCCAAAAUCAAAAAUAAGCGAAAAUUCGAAAGAUAAUAACGAUCGAUCGUGAUCACUCGAAUAUGAAGAUUCUAACCUCGUUGUAACCAUAGGAUGAUGAUGAUGAUGAUGAUGAUGAUGAUGAUGAUAUCAUUUCAAAUAGACCAUAUGUGUAAGAGAAAGUACAUAUGAAUGAACGAGAAAUUAGAAAACAAUAAAAUGUACCCCCGAUUCCCUCAAUUUUUAAAAAGCAUUAAACAACAAUUGAAAUUAUAUUCACAAAUCGUGGAUAAUCCAAACGAAGUUCGAUCGAAGUCGACUCAUCCUGGAUGAAUCACGUAUGUAUAUAUACUUACUUAAAGAAAGACUAUAAGAGGCAGAGAGAAAUAGAGAGAGAGAGAGGAAGAGAGAGACAAACAUAGAUGGAUAGAAAAACAGAGAGAAAGAUUAGAAACUCUUCUAAAAAUUGUCACGAUCUAUUUUGCAAUUUUCUUAUUAAAUCCGGUCAAGCAAGCUCUCUUCCCUCUCUCGAUCAUUCACAGUCCGAUGACGACCAGGACCGCUCACGCUUUUCGAGUCUAAUUUCGUAUUUUUGAAGGCGUCUCGAGGCAUGAAAAUGAGAAAAGGAAAGAAAGAGAUAGAUAGAUCGAGAAAGAAAGAGAGAGAGAGAGAGAGAACGCGUACCGAAAGCACGGAUCUUCCGCGAUCCGUUCUUGCUGCUUAUAAAUCAGCCACGGCGGAGGCUGCCUGGUACGAAGGAGAUUUGAGAUGCUCGGUGAGAGUCCGCGAGAAGAGAGAUGAAGCGAGAAAGAUAUAUAGGGAGAGAGAGAGAGAGAGAAAGAGAGAGAUAGUGAGAAUGAGAAGUAAAGAGGGGAGAUGCUGAGAGAAAGGGACGGAGAGGUCAAGGGAAAGAGAAAGAAAGAAAGAGAGAGAGAGAGAGAGAGAGAG